rnacentral:rRNA from 1 species
AGAGUUUGAUCAUGGCUCAGAACGAACGCUGGCGGCGUGGAUAAGACAUGCAAGUCGAGCGCUGAUUUCAAGGUAGCAAUAUUUUGAGGUCGGAGCGGCGCAAGGGUGCGUAACACGUGGGUAAUCUGCCAAGAAGUUUGGGAUAACUCGCUGAAAGGCGAGCUAAUACCGGAUGUGACCGUUGGGAGGCAUCUCCUGAUAGUCAAAGCUGGGGACCGUAAGGCCUGGCGCUUCUUGAUGAACCCGCGGCCUAUCAGCUAGUUGGUGAGGUAACGGCUCACCAAGGCUAAGACGGGUAGCUGGUCUGAGAGGACGACCAGCCACACUGGAACUGAGACACGGUCCAGACACCUACGGGUGGCAGCAGUCGAGAAUUUUUCACAAUGGGCGAAAGCCUGAUGGAGCGACGCCGCGUGGGGGAUGAAUGGCUUCGGCCCGUAAACCCCUGUCAUUUGCGAUCAACCGUUAUUAUUUAAAAGAUGAUGACCUGAUAGUAGCGAAAGAGGAAGGGACGGCUAACUCUGUGCCAGCAGCCGCGGUAAUACAGAGGUCCCGAGCGUUGUUCGGAUUCACUGGGCGUAAAGGGUGCGUAGGUGGUGAGAUAAGUCGGAUGUGAAAGCUCGGAGCUCAACUCCGAAAUGGCAUUGGAAACUAUCUCGCUCGAGGGUUGGAGGGGGGACUGGAAUGCUUGGUGUAGCAGUGAAAUGCGUAGAUAUCAAGCGGAACACCAGUGGCGAAGGCGAGUCCCUGGACAACUCCUGACACUGAGGCACGAAAGCUAGGGGAGCAAACAGGAUUAGAUACCCUAGUAGUCC